CCAUUUGAAGAUAAGAAAGACGGGCGCCAUAUAUUAUCCUGAUGCGGCUCGCCUAUAUUAGUCCUAAGACUCAAAUCUAAGCAAAUGUUAAAUGGGCAAGCCAUUUUCAGAAAUUGAUGAAAGAAAAAGGUUGGAUAUAGUGAAAUCUCAGAAAUACAGCAGAGACAAUUUUCACAAGUGGGAAAUCUUCAAAGUGUGCAAAUUUGAAUACAAUCAAUACCUCUAUAAAAGAAGAG
rnacentral:lncRNA from 1 species